rnacentral:lncRNA from 1 species
UUCUCCCACUCAAAGCAUUGUGAAAGCUGAACACCAAUACUAGGUCCCACGAGUCCUCCUAACACUGGUGGGAACUGAGAAGUCUGGCAGGAACUCCAGUCAGAUGGUCACCUCUUUAUGGAGAGCCAGAGGCAGCCAGGGAGACCAGCAAAGAAAGGAGGAAGCCUAGAAACGUGAACUACUUGCUCUGGACAAGGAAACCCUGCUCUAUCUGUGCUCUCUUACGUCUCUGCCUCCUCGACCUUGCACUAGAGAAGCCCCACUAUGAGGAGACCGAGAGCUGCCCUCCUCUGACCGCGCAUCCUUUUCAAGAGAGAGCAGAAAGCGUUGUCCGGCUUUCCCCAUUAAACAGACGGAGAGAUGUUCUAAGCUGGCCAGGAUUCUGAACGCCCUGCCAACGGUCUUUUCCCAGCAGAUCGGCAGCAGAACAGGCU